AGAGUUUGAUUCUGGCUCAGGACAAACGCUGGCGGCGUGCCUAAUACAUGCAAGUCGAACGAGAAUCUGAAGCUUGCUUCAGAGGAAAGUGGCGGACGGGUGAGUAAUAUGUAGGAAAUCUGCCCUUAUGUGGGGGACAACAGUUGGAAACGACUGCUAAUACCCCAUAGGAGAUUAGUUGAAAUACUAAUUUUUUAAAGAUUUAUCGCGUAAGGAUGAGCCUGCAUCUGAUUAGCUUGUUGGUGGUGUAAUGGACUACCAAGGCGACGAUCAGUAGCUGGUUUGAGAGGAUGAUCAGCCACAAUGGGACUGAGACACGGCCCAUACUCCUACGGGAGGCAGCAGUAGGGAAUUUUGCGCAAUGGGCGAAAGCCUGAACCGCAGCAACGCCGCGUGAGUGAUGAAGCCCCUCGGGGUGUAAAACUCUGUCAGUAGGGACAAAUUUUGAUGGUACCUACAGAGGAAGCAUCGGCUAACUACGUGCCAGCCGCCGC
rnacentral:rRNA from 1 species